rnacentral:lncRNA from 1 species
CAAUCUGAAGGGGAGCUGCUCAACUAGGAAUAUCUGUGAUUGGGGCUGAAGACACAUGUGGAACUGGUUCUGACAUGUUCCUGGAGAAAGCAGAAGUUCAAAAAGAAUCGGGAAGAAAGAGCUAAAAGAAGGGAGAAGAAAAUAUAUAAAUACACAGAAACUAAAAAGAGAGAGCUUAUUGUGACCUUUCCCAUAGGAGCUCAUAGCAGUUGGCUGCAUGCAUUUAUGAAGUCAGGAAAAGGGAAUCAAAGAUCUAUGUGCGUGUGAAGGUUCAGUGAAGGAAGCCCUUGCUGAGUAAGGUCAAGUAAAAUUUACUUAGUUCCUAGGUAUGUUGACUUGUAGAUGAGUAUCUGAAUGAGUGAGUCAAAUAGACAGUAAAUUUUCUGAACACAAUUUCCACCCUCCUUUAUAUCAAUUUACUGUAUAAUAAACCCUGCUGUAAAAU